rfam:Hordeum vulgare subsp. vulgare, WGS project CAJW01000000 data, contig: morex_contig_1618168
UUUUUACUCCCUCCGCCCUAAAUUUGUUGUCUUAUCUUUGUCUAGACAUGGAUGUAUCUAAAUACUAAAACGUGACUAGAUACAUUUAUAUCUAGACAAAUCUAAGACAAAAAUUUUAAGACGAAGGAAGUGCUUG